AACGAACGCUGGCGGCGUGGAUAAGACAUGCAAGUCGAGCGGGAACUUUCGCUGUAGCAAUACAGUGAAAGUUCUAGCGGCGAACGGGUGCGUAACACGUGGACAAUCUGCCUUAAAGUGGGGGAUAGCUCGGCGAAAGCCGAAUUAAUACCGCAUGUGAUGAGAGACGACAUCGUCUUGAAAUCAAAGCCGGGGCAACCUGGCGCUUUUUGAGGAGUCCGCGGCCAUCAGCUUGUUGGUGAGGUAACGGCUCACCAAGGCUAUGACGGGUAGCUGGUCUGAGAGGACGACCAGUCACACUGGAACUGAGACACGGUCCAGACACCUACGGGUGGCAGCAGCCGAGAAUUUUUGACAAUGGGGAAACCCUGAUCGAGCGACGCCGCGUGGAGGA
rnacentral:rRNA from 1 species